UGGGGAAUAUUGGACAAUGGGCGGAAGCCUGAUCCAGCCAUGCCGCGUGUGUGAAGAAGGCCUUUUGGUUGUAAAGCACUUUAAGCGAGGAGGAGGCUACUUGGAUUAAUACUCUAGGAUAGUGGACGUUACUCGCAGAAUAAGCACCGGCUAACUCUGUGCCAGCAGCCGCGGUAAUACAGAGGGUGCGAGCGUUAAUCGGAUUUACUGGGCGUAAAGCGUGCGUAGGCGGCUUUUUAAGUCGGAUGUGAAAUCCCUGGGCUUAACUUAGGAAUUGCAUUCGAUACUGGGAAGCUAGAGUAUGGGAGAGGAUGGUAGAAUUCCAGGUGUAGCGGUGAAAUGCGUAGAGAUCUGGAGGAAUACCGAUGGCGAAGGCAGCCAUCUGGCCUAAUACUGACGCUGAGGUACGAAAGCAUGGGGAGCAAACAGG
rnacentral:rRNA from 1 species